rnacentral:rRNA from 1 species
CGCUGGCGGCGUGCUUAAAACAUGCAAGUCGAACGGGAUCCAGCCUUCGGGCGAAGAUCUAGUGGCGAACGGGUGAGUAACACGUGAGCAACCUACCCCAGAGACCGGGAUAAGCGAGGGAAACUUCGUCUAAUACCGGAUAAUCUCCUCCCGCUACCAACGGGUUGAGCAAAUGGUUUUUCGCUUUGGGAUGGGCUCGCGCACUAUCAGCUUGUUGGUGGGGUAAUGGCCUACCAAGGCAUCGACGGUUAGCUGGUCUGAGAGGAUGGUCAGCCACACUGGGACUGAGACACGGCCCAGACUCCUACGGGAGGCAGCAGUUAGGAAUCUUGCGCAAUGGGCGAAAGCCUGACGCAGCAACGCCGCGUGUGGGAUGAAGGCUUUCGGGUUGUAAACCACUUUCAGCAGGAACGAAAUUGACGGUACCUGCAGAAGAAGCACCGGCCAACUACGUGCCAGCAGCCGCGGUAAUACGUAGGGUGCAAGCGUUGUCCGGAUUUAUUGGGCGUAAAGAGCUCGUAGGCGGUUAAGUAAGUCAGGUGUGAAACCUCCAGGCUCAACCUGGA